rnacentral:rRNA from 1 species
CAGAUUGAACGCUGGCGGCAGGCCUAACACAUGCAAGUCGAGCGGAAACGACUUAACUGAACCUUCGGGGAACGUUAAGGGCGUCGAGCGGCGGACGGGUGAGUAAUGCCUAGGAAAUUGCCCUGAUGUGGGGGAUAACCAUGGAAAACGAUGGCUAAUACCGCAUGAUGCUUACGGGCCAAAGAGGGGGACCUUCGGGCCUCUCGCGUCAGGAUAUGCCUAGGUGGGAUUAGCUAGUUGGUGAGGUAAUGGCUCACCAAGGCGACGAUCCCUAGCUGGUCUGAGAGGAUGAUCAGCCACACUGGAACUGAGACACGGUCCAGACUCCUACGGGAGGCAGCAGUGGGGAAUAUUGCACAAUGGGCGCAAGCCUGAUGCAGCCAUGCCGCGUGUGUGAAGAAGGCCUUCGGGUUGUAAAGCACUUUCAGUCGUGAGGAAGGUGGUGUAGUUAAUAGCUGCAUUAUUUGACGUUAGCGACAGAAGAAGCACCGGCUAACUCCGUGCCAGCAGCCGCGGUAAUACGGAGGGUGCGAGCGUUAAUCGGAAUUACUGGGCGUAAAGCGCAUGCAGGUGGUUUGUUAAGUCAGAUGUGAAAGCCCGGGGCUCAACCUCGGAAUAGCAUUUGAAACUGGCAGACUAGAGUACUGUAGAGGGGGGUAGAAUUUCAGGUGUAGCGGUGAAAUGCGUAGAGAUCUGAAGGAAUACCGGUGGCGAAGGCGGCCCCCUGGACAGAUACUGACACUCAGAUGCGAAAGCGUGGGGAGCAAACAGGAUUAGAUACCCUGGUAGUCCACGCCGUAAACGAUGUCUACUUGGAGGUUGUGGCCUUGAGCCGUGGCUUUCGGAGCUAACGCGUUAAGUAGACCGCCUGGGGAGUACGGUCGCAAGAUUAAAACUCAAAUGAAUUGACGGGGGCCCGCACAAGCGGUGGAGCAUGUGGUUUAAUUCGAUGCAACGCGAAGAACCUUACCUACUCUUGACAUCCAGAGAACUUUCCAGAGAUGGAUUGGUGCCUUCGGGAACUCUGAGACAGGUGCUGCAUGGCUGUCGUCAGCUCGUGUUGUGAAAUGUUGGGUUAAGUCCCGCAACGAGCGCAACCCUUAUCCUUGUUUGCCAGCGAGUAAUGUCGGGAACUCCAGGGAGACUGCCGGUGAUAAACC